rnacentral:ncRNA from 1 species
UCUUAUCUGGUAAAGCGAAUGAUUAGAGGCCUUAGGGUCGAAACGAUCUUAACCUAUUCUCAAACUUUAAAUGGGUAAGA